AAGAGCUGCUGCGCCGUCAGCCCGUCGUCGGGCACGUAUCCGGUGCCGCCGCUGAUCAGAUAGUCCGCCAUGGCCCCGCCGCGUGCCCGCCCCGCCACACCGAGCGCACGCGCGCCCCGACGGCCGCCGGGGCCAACCCGGCUGCGCCCGCCCCGCGGAGCGGACAGAGCGGCCCCCGGCAACGGCCGGCACCGCAUCGCCCCCUGCCGGCCCGGAGGGCCCCGCACCGCGACACGGCCCUGGAGCCCGCCCAGCGCUGUCGGCACCGGGGACACGCCGGCGACACAGCGGGCCCGGGUGACGCUCUCAGCCGCCGGGAGUUCCCCCUGAGCGUCUCCUCAGCACCGGCCCCGCGCGUGCCCAGCCCGGUGCCGCCGGGUCGGCGCGGCCGUUGUGUGCUCGGGCACUGCAGCCGCGUCCGCGUGUCGGGGGAGGCAGGAGGACAGAGCUCCGGGACAGCCCAGCACAGCCCUGGGCGCCGUUCCUUGGCUUGGCUGACACAGCGUGGCCAGCGCAGUGUGACACCUGCUACAGCACCGCCUAAGAAAGCCCAGCAAUGGGUGAUGCACACAAACACGGUGGGGUGGGAGCUGAGCCCAACACCAGAUAGUCCAGCAACUUCUGCAGGAAGAUGAGAAUGGGCCUGUUGGGUCUGUGGUGGAUGCAGAGCUGGGACACACCAGCAGGACCCAAAGCAACUUUGUAAGUCAAAGUGAGCUGCAAGAAGGAUGAAAGUCAAAAAGUGGCAAGCAAGGCAGGUUUGGCACCAAGAGGGGAAUGAAAGGCACGAAGGAGAGGGUCCAAAGCGAUCCCAGCUAGGUAUUAUCCCCCUCUUGCCAAAGCCCCGAGGCCAGGCUGUACAAACAAGCACUGUGAAGAGGAUGGCUGCACAUGGGGGACUGUAGUGUAGCACCUUCCUGUCUGUGCUGCAGGUGGUGACUGGAGGCAGGAUUUUGGAGAAGAGCAGUAGCAGGAGUAGGGAGGACUGUGCCUGGAAUGGAACAGGCAAAAAAACACAGAUCUGCCUUAGAGGACCCUUGAAGGAAACAGCAGUUGUUUCUUUUCCAGGAUGAGAUGUUCUCAUGCCUGCAGGUCUGUUGGAGCAUCAGGAAAAGUAUCUGUACUGCAGGUUACAGAACAACUUCCUUCUCUGAUGGCUGGUUUCCUUCUUGUGACAUUCCAGAUCUGGCCUCAGAGCAGCACCAGGGACAGAAGACAACCAGACCCCUUCUCACCCACUGUCCUAGGUAACCCCUAGUCUAACACUAACCAGUUCGGGGACUAAAGAAUGGUGCUCCUGUGCCUGCAACUGUCCUACUGCAGUAGGUUAAAUCCUUGUCCAAGGAUCAGAAAUCAGCUUCAAGAAAUGUGUAACUCAUGUUACCCAGCUGUAGGACACAGAAAAUGUAACAGUGACAUCUGCUCAGGUCUCCUGAAAUACUUGGAAGCGAACAGGCUUUUUAUCCUGCGAGGGUCAUCAGUCACGUUCAAGCCUCUAGUUUGGACCAACAUAUUUUCAUCUGAGGAAGGUUCUACAAAAGACAACAUGGAGUUUAGAGAAAGACAGUUAGGCCAGUGACUUUUACGGAGGGUGAGAAGCCCCAAACAAGUGAACUAUCUAUGGACAGGAGGAGGACUCCCAAGCGACUUGUUUGGUCUCAGCAGCAGUGAUCUGCAAAGGUUGUGGUCUCCAAGCUACAGUUGUUUCCCAUGGGAUGGUGGGUUUGUCUGUAGCAGGAAAGGAAGGUGCAAGCCUCAGCAUGAGGAUGUUCCCUUUGCUAUGAGAAAGGGUACAUGUGGCUUUCAAGGCCGCCCCAGAACUAGGAAAAUGCAGCCCUUGCACAGCAAAGAGCCAGUGACAAGGAUCUGCAAUGGCCCUUAAAACUUUCAGCCAAGAGUGGUGGUGAUGAUAUCGCCAACAUCAACACCAUCUCCUUCCCACAGCCACCCAGUAACAGUGCUUUGUUGUUAUGUGACAUUCUGAACUCUAUAGGGUAGAGUAUACAGCAGACUGUAUUCCACCCUGCUGUUACCUCUGCACAUAACUCCUGGGCUGAAUUUCAGCUAAGAGCUCACUUCUCCUAUCCACACACCAAUGUCCCACUGGUUGCAGUUUGCCUGAGCUAGGGAGCUGGAAGAAAAGCACCGUCCUUUGCAGAAAAUAAAAGCACCUAGGCCCACGCCACUGAAAGCCGUUCCCCGUCAAGGCACCAAGAUGGUUAUCCCAGAGGCAGGGAUCAGAGCCACAGCGUUCCCAAGGAAAGCGCUGCCUGCCAAGGACACGCACUCUCGAGUCAGCAUUACCUGUCACAGGAUCAGCACAACAGGAGGCAUCGUGCCAGACCAAAAUCAGGCUAACAGGUCUCUCUACCCUUAUUUAAAACAAAGACAGGCUAACAAAGGCUUGCUGAGCCUACCUGGGCGGCACACACUGAUCUGAGCUACAGCACGGGCACAGCAGUGAACAGGCAAGUUGGCUUCUGUUCCAAUGGAAACAUCAGACAAAGUUUAAUGGUUCUCAAACAGACUACAACAAAGGCUGCAGGGAAAAACAUUUUAUUUCCAAGCAGAUUACAAAGAGCAGAGAAUAUAAGAGUAAAAUUAAAUUAAAAAAAUAGUUGAGUGCAUCUCUUUAAAAUGAUUUGUAGUGUGAGUUACUCACGGGGCAAAGCUACUGGAGAGUUCUGAAGGUCACUUUGCAGGAUGCCAAUCACAUGUGCUGUUUAGACCUGGGUCAACACAGGAGGGACAGACAAGACGUAUUUUGCAUAUAGGCUGCACACUCAUUAUCAAGCGAGGCUCUGGGCUGCAACUGGACCCUGCCUUUCCGAGACAUCCCCUCCACCUCGUUUCUCUCCUGCAGUUCCCUCAAGUUCUAGACAUGGUUUAUUGCUGCUGUAAGUGAGUUCAAUCUGCCUCCCCAUUCUGAUGAGCUCCAAUGAGAAGGAAGAAGCAGGCAAACGUGUCUGCCAUGCACAAGGUUAUACAGGGAAUGUGGCUGCAGUGCUGAGGGCAGAGCUUCAGCCACACAGCAAAGGGAACCGACAAGUAGGGGGCACAGCGAGUGCUUCAGAGAUUUGGGGGCAGCAUGUCAGCUAGACUUCUGGAAGAAGAUUUGAGAUGCUCCUUAAGGUAGGAAGAGACUCAAGUGGAGAAAAGCUCCUUCCUAUGCAUUGGCACCAGUGAAACAGAAGAGGCUGAAUCAUCAUGAUAAGGUGCAUUCCCUGUAAUAUCUGAGGAGCAGCUCCAGCAGUAAGAUGGGCAGAAAAACCCCAUAUAGGGUGGAAGACAGCUGAUAUCCCACUUUAACAGUGAUUUAAGAGUCCAAGCACUAAUUCCAAGUCAGUUACUAUGAAACUCACACAAGAAUGCAGUUUGGCUGGACUGUGCAGAGUCAAUCAGUGUCUAGCAGCACUCAGAGCAGCAGGAGGAUGUGCAACUACAGCACCAGCAAGUCUUCCACCCCCUGUAUGCUAAGUGGACUCUUUUCUACCACUUCUGGAUCUGCUCUGCUCUCACAGCAUAAGGGGCUUGGAGGCCUCAUCCCUUCUACUGUAGCACACAGUAGCCCUAAUGCAGCUGAGAACAAGGCUGUCUUAAUUUCUGCCCCAGGAGCAACAGUGCAGAAGAGGAUUCUUAUCUAGGGACCAGAUUACAUAUUUUUUAUUGCCCAAGGCAGAACAGUUCAGGGACUACUUCAGACCUUGUGACCCAUCUAAUAAGUCCAGACCUCUAGGGGUGAAGAAGCCAAUAGAUGAAAGCCCUAUUAAGUUACUUGGACCAUUCCCUUUACUCACCACUCUAGACAGAAGAACCACUCUCUAGUCUGCUCGUUGCUGCUUCAGCCAUUACCACUCAGAAGAAAUGCUUGAACUCUUGAAAGCAAAUGAAAAUCUAAUGGUGCCAUGGACAAGCGUGUUAAGAGGCUACAAGUUUCCUAAAGAAAGCAACACUGUUAGUGUCAAGAGCUUGGACAAUACAUGAGUCUCAUGUCAGAAUGUGAGGUGCUUUACAACAGUCAGUCACGCUCUGAUUUCCAUGGUUCCUUUCAUACCCUGGCAACAAGAUGGGCACAGUUCAAAACCAACAUGGUAGGGUCUCUACCUUGACUUCUCAGCUCUAUUUGUUUAGAGAUCAAUGCAUUUUCAGCCUGUCUCAUACAAGGCAUGGGGCAGGGAGAGUUCCUGUUGAAUAUAUACACGCAUACAAGAGCGAGCAGUUUGGCACUCUCAGAGCCGAGGGGGAAUGCCCUUGAAGCAGCAGUCAAGCUGGUUAUAGGAAAGUGUUAAAAAGCUAUUUUACAUGUUUGACUGGGAACAUUUCCCAGAACUCGGACAGCAACUCUAAGCCGCAGCACUCUUCUGUGCUACUCUGUGCACGUAUUCCUAUGAGCCCCUACAAGGGAGCAGAUCAUGUUCUUCACUAUCAAAGAACAUAGUAUUUAUAUUCUAGAAAUACUGUACCUUUUAAAUUAGCUCCAGAGAGCCAGACUAGAAGCCAGGUCCAGGAAAAUAAUCCUUAAGUCACAGUAUAUCGAUUGUCUCUAAAAAUAGGGAAUGAAGUUAACACAGUGGACAUUCUGAUGAGACAGUACGGAACAGUACAGCAGUCCACUUCUGCCUCAGCAGAUCCCUCUCCUAUGUACAUCUGAACAAUGAGAAAGUAAUGGAGACACUUCAGUCCAUCAGGACAAAACCAAUCAUCAGGAGAUCUCCACAGCUCACCAUGUGCCAAGUUUCCCUGUUACUAAUCAGUAUACUCCAAGAUCAAGGAGAACUCUUCCCCUACAAAGACUUUAGAUCAUCCUGAAGUUAAGGGUUGUAAGGAAAGUGCACAGCCUAGAAUUUUAAGGUAACACGGAAUCCUGUUUCCCCAGAAAACUCAGCUGAAGUACCUGUUUCAUCCCUAACCUGCAACUGCCCCAAUGUUCUGUCAUGUUAUUGCAGCUUCUGGCAAUUUUUAGACUAAGAGGUGACUCCCAAGGUCACCUAGUGAAGCAACUGGUACAGGGUGUAUCUGACAGAUGGUUUAACACCCACUGUACUUCUGAUGGAGACAGCCAAGGCAGCAGGCUUUGCAACUCUGCUCAGAAGAUGGGACAAACUGCCCAAAAGAAAGGGAAAUCCACCCUAUGCAGGCCUGUUGGGGACCCUGAGCAACAGGCACAUGCAACUGCUUGAAAUAGUGGGAGCCUGCCCCAGCAAUGUCCUUAACCUCUUAAAUUAGGGCCAAAGAUGGACAUUCCAGUCACUAAGAUAUGGUGAAGGGAUUAGAGGAUUCUGACAGCUGAAGCACUACUGAUGAUCCCAACAGCCACUCUGCCACAGGGGCAAUGAUGGAUCCAAGCAGACAGCUGCCAGCACUACACACUACUCAGGCACCAUCUUCCCAGUUCACCCACUGGGACCUGGGCACCAACCCCAGGCUGUUCUCCCCUGGCCUACCUCUGAGGGCAGACACUGAGCUAAGAGUCUAAAGUAGAGUGCAGGUUUUUUUACAAAACAACAGUGCAUUGCUACUUCAUCUCUCUGCACUUAUUUGAGCACAGAGUCCUACAGAGGGAACAAACUGCUCAUACUGACAACUAACUCGAGCACACGGGCUUCCUUGGGAACACCAACGUCAAUACGAAGCAUCAGGGGCUUGGGAAGUCUCUCUAAGCGUGCACGCCUCAACACUGCUCACGAGCACAAAGACAGGAAACGUUAUGGCUACUCUCAUUUACACUGUGCACAACCAACAGAGAGGGCAGACCUUCCUUCUCAAUACAGACAGUAUUUACCUAUGUAUUUUGGAACAGGGAAGGGACAUGAGGUGGAGAAGCAGGGAAGACAAGUUCAAGAAGCAGAGUCAUCUCUCUGCAUCCAAGAAGCUGGUGGCACAAAUAACAAGCCUGGCAAGUGAUCUCCCAUUUCAAGCACAGUUGGCUACCCGCUGGGUUCAAAAGAGCAGACUAUUUGUUAAUGAUAUAAAAUAUCGCAACCAUUUAAGAUGCAGCAAGGCAAGGCUACAGGGCUGGGGUUUAUGAUCAUGAACGAUGCCAGGAGCUACACAGCUAUGUUAAAAACUGUGAAAAGGCUGUUAAUAGCAGGAGUAAGCCAUAUGCUGCUCCUGGAAGGCCUUUUCCCUCCAAAGCCCCUCCAUCAUGCCGUUGGUGUGAUGUAUUUGAAAAGGAGAGGGGGACUUUUCUAGGGGUAAAGCCACAGAACAUGAGGACAGUCUGAUCUGGUCUCACAGAUCCCAUGUUCCUAGCCUGGCACUGAGCUUCCAUCAGCAAGCAGACAUUCAGGUCCUUCAACAGAAGUGUAUGCCCUUCUACCUUCAAAAUUUGUAGAGGUGAAAGAAGUCCAGCAGAGCUGAGCUGGAAAGCACAAACAGGGAUGAAAACAACCAGUUUGCAUACUGAUCUUUGUAUAAUGACCCCCCACCCUCACAGCUCACUCUUCCCCAAAUAAAGACACAUUGUUCAAUGGCAUGUUGAAAAGACGUGCUCGUCAUUCUUAAUAAACAACUAGAGUAAGAAUACAUAAGAGAAACAGGGUGGUAUCUUUAUAUGAUACACAAGUGUAUGUUACAAGAAUUCCAUCAGGCACAGAAGCCUCAAGGUUUAAGGCCUCAAUGUUAGGCCAAAAAAGAAGAGUGUGGUAAAGUUUGUACUUUUAACAUCUAAAAAUGUCACUUAAAGGUCUGAAUAGAAAUUGUUGGUUUGUUUUUUUUUUUUUGUAUAAAUCAUAAUUGCAGUUCACUCUCUCCUCUUUCUUCCAAGAUAUCAGCAAAUUAACGUCCAAGCACAAGAAAAGAAGAUGCCUGCCUCUCCUCCACUGGCUGAGCAGGUCCAUCCAUCAUUCUGUGCCCUCUAGGCUGCACGUGCUCCAGGGAGACAGAGGCCCUGGCCAACCAGGCCAAUCCUGUAGUUCAUAUUUUCUACAUCAUAAAAAAAACCCAGAGUCAACCAGCAGCUUUCCACAGCUCCCAGCUUGCAGGGGAUAUGCAGCCUCCAAUGGUUCCAACAGUUUGGUGUGUUGGGUAGGAUACACAAUGGGUAGGUUUUCCUUUAGAUUCUUUUAAAGAGAAGAAGCCUAAAAGGGCUUCAUAACUACACCAAUAAAAAACCAAAAACUUA